GGCCGCCUCUCCCUUAGCUACACCGCGCAGCAGAGGGGACGCCUUCCCGCCUAGCGACCGGCGGCCAAUCAGCGGUGCCCCUCGGUGUGAGGGAGCGAUGGCGGCGGCGGCGGCUGAAACGCGGCUUUAUCUUCAACAGAUGUGCGGCUAUGAAGCUUAGCGGGGCUCAGCUCGGCGCGCGGCCGUCCAGGAGCUGCUGAGCGAAGGACCAGGCUGGUGUUGUGGGCUCCAUCGUGUGGCCCCAGCUCCUGCCUCAGCACCAGCAUCACCCGGUGCCAGGACCAUGGGGCCAGCCCUGCCCGGUGCUGCUGCACCUCUGUGGGGAUGGAGAUGGUGAGGAGGAUGAUGAAGAAGAGCCCAUGGAUCAGGAUGAGGAGAGAUUAACCCUUACCCUGCCGAAACCUCUGUGCAUCGAAGACGUGCACCAGCUCCCCACGCCACAGCGGCAGCACCAUGGUACGUGCAGCUCAGCAGUGAACCUCCAGCAUUCCUGUCGUCAUUCGCAUCAUCCCGGAUCCAUCCCAGAGAUGCAGGAAGAUCCCUCGAUGCCCCGUAGCGACCCAGAGAGACUCCUGGACACUCCAUAAAGCCCUGUACACCCUACAGGCAUCGCAUAGAGCCAUACAGUGACCCACAGACACCCGACAGCAACCAUUGGACCCAUAUAGACCCCAUAGUGACCCAUAGAUCCCCAUAACUACCCACAGAGACCACAGAGUGACCCACACACUGCCCCAUGGCAACCCAUAUCACCCCAUAGACACCCUCCACUGCCCCAUAGCAUCCUAUAGACCCACAACUCACACCCCACAGCUUUUAUUGACCACUGGCAUUGCAGUAACAGCAGCAGAAUCUGUAUACAUAGCACCCGAUAGGGAACCCCCUACCCCCCGUGGCCCGUAAGUGCCCCAACACCCGUGAAUUUUUUAGUCUCUUUCAUUCAUUUUUAUUCACUUUUUCAUAAUUUAUAAUUGCUUGUUUUCACUUUUCGUUGAAUUUCUUCGGUUUAAUUCACUUUUUAUUUGGUUUUUAGUCAAUUUUUGUUCACUUUUCAAGUUGCAGUCAGGCUGAUUCACUUUUUAUUCCCUUUUUAAUGACAUUAUGGUGGGUCUUGGCUAGGUGUGAGGCCAAGGCAGGGUUAAUAAAGGCCUGGGGGCAUGGUCUGUGCUGUGGAA